UAAAGAAAUUGAAAAAUGUUUGGGCUUAAAACAUAUAACAAAGCCGGACCUAAUUUUGAAUUUUGCUGAACUCGUUGCCGAGCCUGUCCACGACAUUUUUUGGAUAACUUGUCAACGGAAGAAAUUUCCUACAUCGAAUUUACUAUGGGCCUGUGAAAAAAGGAAGUCUCGGGACAGGAUAUGUACCACGGAAAUUUCCGCUCAAAGGCAGUACUACUCUUUUUUUGACAUUUUUCCUUCGAUUUUAUUUGAAUAUGAUUAAAUAUAGCCUGAAUACAACAUUUUUGGGAUAUGAUGCCAAUGGAAGAAAUGUUCUGCAAUAAGUUUUCUAGGAGUAAGCUAAAAUUGGAAGUCUCUCGACAUGUUAUAUGUCACGAAAAUCCCGUUUUUAAUGUGAUAUAUACAAAAACUAAAUAUUUAUGAAGUAAUUUUAAUCUGUUCUCGAUUAUGUGCCAUGAGUGAUGCCAAUGGAGAAAUUGUUUUACACAAAAUUUGAGUAUGGGUCACCAAACAGAUAAAAUCUGUAUAUACUAUAUAUCAUCGCGAAAAAUUCAAUAUCAAAUUUAAUAUAUAAAAUUAAGGAUUAUGUGGUGUAAUUUUAACGCGUGUUCGAUAUACUGCCAAAAUUAGCCACAAAACCACAAUUUUGGGGUACGACAUCAAAGAAGAAAUGAUUCUAAACCAAAUUUCACUAUGAGUCAACGAACACAAGAAAUCUGUAGAUAUUAUGGAUCAUCGUGAAAAUGGCAUUCAGAAAUUUCUUAGGGGAUUUAAUGAUGCUAUUUUUAAUAUAUAUUGGAUUUUAAUCAAAUUUUCGCAGGGGUGCGGUGAUGUUCGAGAAAAUUGUUCACAUCAAAUACGAUUAUAAGUCUCUAUAGAACAUAAAUUGUUGAACUUUGCAAUUAGGCCUAUAUCUUCCAUUAUUCUCCACUUCACGGACUUGAUGUCAAAGAAGAAAACGUUCUUUAUCUAAUUUCACUAUAGGUUUCCAAAUAUGAGAAAUUGUUAUAUAUACAACAUUAAUUAGAAAUUUGCUUGCAAUGUGAGCAUGUAAAUUAAAAUAUA